rnacentral:rRNA from 1 species
UUGAGAGCGGCGGACGGGUGAGUAAUGCCUAGGAAUCUGCCUGGUAGUGGGGGAUAACGUUCGGAAACGGACGCUAAUACCGCAUACGUCCUACGGGAGAAAGCAGGGGACCUUCGGGCCUUGCGCUAUCAGAUGAGCCUAGGUCGGAUUAGCUAGUUGGUGAGGUAAUGGCUCACCAAGGCGACGAUCCGUAACUGGUCUGAGAGGAUGAUCAGUCACACUGGAACUGAGACACGGUCCAGACUCCUACGGGAGGCAGCAGUGGGGAAUAUUGGACAAUGGGCGAAAGCCUGAUCCAGCCAUGCCGCGUGUGUGAAGAAGGUCUUCGGAUUGUAAAGCACUUUAAGUUGGGAGGAAGGGUUGUAGAUUAAUACUCUGCAAUUUUGACGUUACCGACAGAAUAAGCACCGGCUAACUCUGUGCCAGCAGCCGCGGUAAUACAGAGGGUGCAAGCGUUAAUCGGAAUUACUGGGCGUAAAGCGCGCGUAGGUGGUUUGUUAAGUUGGAUGUGAAAUCCCCGGGCUCAACCUGGGAACUGCAUUCAAAACUGACUGACUAGAGUAUGGUAGAGGGUGGUGGAAUUUCCUGUGUA